rnacentral:rRNA from 1 species
GAUGAACGCUGGCGGCGUGCCUAAUACAUGCAAGUCGAGCGAACUUUUGGGAGCUUGCUCCCAAAAGUUAGCGGCGGACGGGUGAGUAACACGUGGGUAACCUGCCUGUAAGACUGGGAUAACUUCGGGAAACCGGAGCUAAUACCGGAUAACAUUGAAGCCCACAUGGCCUUCAAUUAAAAGGUGGCUUUUAGCUACCACUUACAGAUGGACCCGCGGCGCAUUAGCUAGUUGGUGAGGUAACGGCUCACCAAGGCGACGAUGCGUAGCCGACCUGAGAGGGUGAUCGGCCACACUGGGACUGAGACACGGCCCAGACUCCUACGGGAGGCAGCAGUAGGGAAUCUUCCGCAAUGGACGGAAGUCUGACGGAGCAACGCCGCGUGAGCGAAGAAGGCCUUCGGGUCGUAAAGCUCUGUUGUUAGGGAAGAACAAGUAUCGUGCGAAUAGGGCGGUACCUUGACGGUACCUAACCAGAAAGCCACGGCUAACUACGUG